AAGAGCCGUAUGAGCUGAGAGGUUCACGUACGGUUCUGUGAGAGGCUGAGGGUGAAAUUCCCUCGGUCUACUCGAC
rfam:Magnetococcus sp. MC-1, complete genome.